CAUACUAGGCUGGGCUGCACAUACCACGGUACUUUUUUUUGUGUUCAAUUUAAAAAUCAAUCGUCAUUUCUCGGACAGGUCCAAGGAUCAUCACGCGCACCUUUCGAACAAAGGUGAAAACGCAAUGCAAAAAACCCCAAUGUUUUUGUUGUUGAUAGGCACACAAAAUAGUUCAGAUGAAAAUGGUGUUCUCCGUGAUGGGGGCUCGCAUUUCGUCACGUUGUCCCGCAUGUAAUUGCAUGUGUAGGGUAAACAGCGUGCGGGAUUGUUCUUAGUAGGCUGAAGAAAUAUCCCGCAUCCAAGCACAAAGUGUAACAAACCAUAUAUGGGCAGUGCUACGAAGCACCGCUAUACCUCAGUCAUGGAAUUCUGUAAUAUUUCAUAACAAGCCAGCAGGAAUAAACCCUCGUAUUUCCGUUGAGUCUUCCCUUUUUUUCGGACCUUGACAGGAAAGUCAACAUGGUUUUUCCUGUCCUUUUCUCCUCUGAAGUAAUCAGCCAGCCGUGUAAUGAGGUUGAUCGACUACAUGGCGGACUUUCUGACCUUAUCUAAAUGAGGACAAUUGGAAAGGAGCCGCUAACUUCUACGCUUAUCUUUAAAACAAAAAAAAAUGUAGAGAUAUCAGGCUUUACGGGCGAUGGUGACACAACGGAAGUUGCUAGAUCAAAUGUUCUCGUGUUCCCAGUCUUCAUGUAUUACCGCACGUUGCAUCAGUAUAAAAUGUACAAGUGAAUCAUAGUAGUCUCGUGAAUACAUUCCUCAAGUAGCGA